ACAUGCAAGUCGACCGGUGAAAGAGAGCGUGCUCUCUGGAUCAGUGGCGAACGGGUGAGUAACACGUGAGCAAUCUGCACCUGACUCUGGGAUAAGCGCUGGAAACGGCGUCUAAUACCCGAUACGAGCUGCGAAGGCAUCUUCAGCAGCUGGAAAGAACUUCGGUCAGGGAUGAGCUCGCGGCCUAUCACCUAGUUGGUGAGGUAAUGGCUCGCCCAGGCGUCGACGGGUAGCCGGCCUGAGAGGGUGACCGGCCACACUGCGACUGAGACACGGCCCAGACUCCUACGGGAGGCAGCAGUGGGGAAUAUUGCACAAUGGGCGAAAGCCUGAUGCAGCAACGCCGCGUGAGGGAUGACGGCCUUCGGGUUGUAAACCUCUUUUAGCAGGGAAGAAGCGAAAGUGACGGUACCUGCAGAAAAAGCGCCGGCUAACUACGUGCCAGCAGCCGCGGUAAUACGUAGGGCGCAAGCGUUAUCCGGAAUUAUUGGGCGUAAAGAGCUCGUAGGCGGUUUGUCGCGUCUGCUGUGAAAACCCGAGGCUCAACCUCGGGCCUGCAGUGGGUACGGGCAAACUAGAGUGCGGUAGGGGAGAUUGGAAUUCCUGGUGUAGCGGUGGAAUGCGCAGAUAUCAGGAGGAACACCGAUGGCGAAGGCAGAUCUCUGGGCCGUAACUGACGCUGAGGAGCGAAAGGGUGGGGAGCAAACAGGCUUAGAUACCCUGGUAGUCCACCCCGUAAACGUUGGGAACUAGUUGUGGGGUCCAUUCCACGGAUUCCGUGACGAAGCUAACGCAUUAAGUUCCCCGCCUGGGGAGUACGGCCGCAAGGCUAAAACUCAAAGGAAUUGACGGGGACCCGCACAAGCGGCGGAGCAUGCGGAUUAAUUCGAUGCAACGCGAAGAACCUUACCAAGGCUUGACAUAUACGAGAACACUGCAGAAAUGUAGGACUCUUUGGACACUCGUAAACAGGUGGUGCAUGGUUGUCGUCAGCUCGUGUCGUGAGAUGUUGGGUUAAGUCCCGCAACGAGCGCAACCCUCGUUCUAUGUUGCCAGCACGUAAUGGUGGGAACUCAUGGGAUACUGCCGGGGUCAACUCGGAGGAAGGUGGGGAUGACGUCAAAUCAUCAUGCCCCUUAUGUCUUGGGCUUCACGCAUGCUAC
rnacentral:rRNA from 1 species